rnacentral:rRNA from 1 species
AUUGAACGCUGGCGGCAUGCCUUACACAUGCAAGUCGAACGGCAGCACGGGGGCAACCCUGGUGGCGAGUGGCGAACGGGUGAGUAACGCAUCGGAAUGUACCCAGUAGUGGGGGAUAACUAGUCGAAAGAUUAGCUAAUACCGCAUACGCACUGAGGUGGAAAGCGGGGGAUCGCAAGACCUCGCGCUAUUGGAGCAGCCGAUGUCCGAUUAGGUAGUUGGUGGGGUAAAGGCCUACCAAGCCUGCGAUCGGUAACUGGUCUGAGAGGACGACCAGUCACACUGGGACUGAGACACGGCCCAGACUCCUACGGGAGGCAGCAGUGGGGAAUUUUGGACAAUGGGCGCAAGCCUGAUCCAGCAAUGCCGCGUGUGUGAAGAAGGCCUUGGGUUGUAAGCACUUUGUCGGGAGGCG